rnacentral:rRNA from 1 species
UACGUAGGGUGCGAGCGUUGUCCGGAGUUACUGGGCGUAAAGGGUGUGUAGGCGGUUCUUUAAGUUUGGUGUGAAAUCUCCCGGCUCAACCGGGAGGGUGCGCCGAAUACUGAGGGACUUGGAGUGCGGGAGAGGAAAGUGGAAUUCCUGGUGUAGCGGUGAAAUGCGUAGAUAUCAGGAGGAACACCGGUGGUGUAGACGGCUUUCUGGACCGUAACUGACGCUGAGACACGAAAGCGUGGGUAGCAAACAGG